AGCUUUGUACAAUGGCACUAUCAUAGCCAAUGAGGUUUAUCCAAGGAACAAUUAUUGCUAAUUGAAAACUGUUUCCAAUGCAUCCAUGUAUUAAAUCUAAAUUUCUCUAAUUUCAAUGACCAUAUUUUAGCAGUGUUACCAAUAAA
rfam:Cavia porcellus supercont2_19 genomic scaffold, whole genome shotgun sequence.